UACGGGAGGCAGCAGUGGGGAAUAUUGCACAAUGGGCGAAAGCCUGAUGCAGCUAUGCCGCGUGUAUGAAGAAGGCCUUAGGGUUGUAAAGUACUUUCAUCGGGGAGGAAAAACAAAACUAAUAAUUUUAUUUCUUGACGUUACCCGAAAAAGAAGCACCGGCUAACUCCGUGCCAGCAGCCGCGGUAAUACGGAGGGUGCUAGCGUUAAUCAGAAUUACUGGGCGUAAAGAGCACGUAGGUGGUUUUUUAAGUCAGAUGUGAAAUCCCUGGGCUUAACCUAGGAACUGCAUUUUGAAACUGAAAUACUAGAGUAUCGUAGAGGGAGGUAGAAUUCUAGGUGUAGCGGUGAAAUGCGUAGAUAUCUGGAGGAAUACCUGUGGCGAAAGCGGCCUCUUAAACGAUACUGACACUGAGGUGCGAAAGCGUGGGGAGCAAACAGGGAUUAGAUACC
rnacentral:rRNA from 1 species